AUUGAACGCUGGCGGCAGGCUUAACACAUGCAAGUCGAGCGGGGGAAGGUAGCUUGCUACCGGACCUAGCGGCGGACGGGUGAGUAAUGCUUAGGAAUCCGCCUAUUAGUGGGGGACAACAUCUCGAAAGGGAUGCUAAUACCGCAUACGUCCUACGGGAGAAAGCAGGGGAUCUUCGGACCUUGCGCUAAUAGAUGAGCCUAAGUCGGAUUAGCUAGUUGGUGGGGUAAAGGCCUACCAAGGCGACGAUCUGUAGCGGGUCUGAGAGGAUGAUCCGCCACACUGGGACUGAGACACGGCCCAGACUCCUACGGGAGGCAGCAGUGGGGAAUGUUGGACAAUGGGGGGAACCCUGAUCCAGCCAUGCCGCGUGUGUGAAGAAGGCCUUAUGGUUGUAAAGCACUUUAAGCGAGGAGGAGGCUACUUUAGUUAAUACCUAGAGAUAGUGGACGUUACUCGCAGAAUAAGCACCGGCUAACUCUGUGCCAGCCGCCGCAGUAA
rnacentral:rRNA from 1 species